rnacentral:rRNA from 1 species
ACGAGAAGCUUGCUUCUCUGAUGUUAGCGGCGGACGGGUGAGUAACACGUGGAUAACCUACCUAUAAGACUGGGAUAACUUCGGGAAACCGGAGCUAAUACCGGAUAAUAUUUUGAACCGCAUGGUUCAAAAGUGAAAGACGGUCUUGCUGUCACUUAUAGAUGGAUCCGCGCUGCAUUAGCUAGUUGGUAAGGUAACGGCUUACCAAGGCAACGAUGCAUAGCCGACCUGAGAGGGUGAUCGGCCACACUGGAACUGAGACACGGUCCAGACUCCUACGGGAGGCAGCAGUAGGGAAUCUUCCGCAAUGGGCGAAAGCCUGACGGAGCAACGCCGCGUGAGUGAUGAAGGUCUUCGGAUCGUAAAACUCUGUUAUUAGGGAAGAACAUAUGUGUAAGUAACUGUGCACAUCUUGACGGUACCUAAUCAGAAAGCCACGGCUAACUACGUGCCAGCAGCCGCGGUAAUACGUAGGUGGCAAGCGUUAUCCGGAAUUAUUGGGCGUAAAGCGCGCGUAGGCGGUUUUUUAAGUCUGAUGUGAAAGCCCACGGCUCAACCGUGGAGGGUCAUUGGAAACUGGAAAACUUGAGUGCAGAAGAGGAAAGUGGAAUUCCAUGUGUAGCGGUGAAAUGCGCAGAGAUAUGGAGGAACACCAGUGGCGAAGGCGACUUUCUGGUCUGUAACUGACGCUGAUGUGCGAAAGCGUGGGGAUCAAACAGGAUUAGAUACCCUGGUAGUCCACGCCGUAAACGAUGAGUGCUAAGUGUUAGGGGGUUUCCGCCCCUUAGUGCUGCAGCUAACGCAUUAAGCACUCCGCCUGGGGAGUACGACCGCAAG